rnacentral:tRNA from 1 species
ACAUAAAUAGUAUAAUAAAUACGUUAGAUUUAGAAUCUAAAAAUGUAAUUUAUGUU